AAAUGCGUUGGAAAAUUAAUUCCGUGAGAAACGUGUAGGAGAAUUCUAACGAAACAUUUAUGUGGGAAAUGAGUAGGAGAAUUUGUAGGAAAUGCGUCAGAAAAAAAUUACCCACGAGCAUAAUUCCUACAGCUCAUUUUCGUGGGAAAUCCGUGGCAGCAGUUUUCUAGUAGUGAGUGUCUCAUGACCCACCUCACGUUGACGUUCAAUAUAUCUCCUUCGGUUAGAUGUGCCCGUGUCUUGAAGUUCGGCGUCUUCGAUGAGAUUUUGGAAAAAAAAAAGAAUGCUAACAUCGGAUGAAUCGUCGUUACUAUCGGGUGGAAAAAAUAACGGGAGUUCAUCCGCCAUUUUGUUUUGUAAUGAUUGGGUAAAUGUUUAGUAUUUUUUGGUUUGGUUGGGGUAUAAAUUUGAAUGUAUUUAGGUAUGAUUUAUGUUAGGUAUUUAUAGUUUAAUUUUAAAAAGAAAAUAUAAUUUUUUUAUUUAAACGGCUAUAUAGCUGUUGGUCAUCGUCUCCAACGGUCAAAUUUGUGCCUUUGUCGAUGGUAUGCAGUCACCGAGGGAGAAACCUUACCACGCGGCAAAAGGAGUUGACAGCGGUGUUCCCGAGCAGCAAACCAAAUUUACCGCACUCUUUUGCCGUCCACAUCGUACACCCUUAUUUGGUCUAAUUUAAAAGCGUAAGCACUGCCAUUCAAAAAAAAAAAAAAAAAAAAA
rnacentral:lncRNA from 1 species